rnacentral:rRNA from 1 species
CAGAUCGUGCAGGAGGUGGAGGCCACGGGGGGCAACAUCGGCGCCUCCGCCUCCAGGGAGCAGAUGGUCUACAGCUACGACACGCUCAAGGCCUACAUUCCGCAGGCCGUCGAGGUGCUCCUCGACUCCGUCCGCAACCCGCUCUUCGUCCAGGACGAAGUCGACAGGCAGCUGGCCCUUACCCGAGAAGAGGUCCACGGGGUGCAGAAGAACCCGGAGAAGUUCCUUCAGGAAGUACUUAACCUUGCUGGAUACGAGGGGGCGCUCGCGAACCCGCUGAUAGCUCCCGAGGAGGCUCUUGAGAUCAUCAAUGCCGAUAUUAUUCGGAAGUUCUAUCAUGAAAACUUCACUGCUGAUCGUGUGGUUCUAGCAGCGUCAGGUGUUGAUCAUCAACAGUUGUUAGAUGUCGCAGAACCUUUGUUGUCUGAUUGGCACAAGGGGUCCCCUAUGGAAACACCAAAGUCUACGUACACAGGUGGUGAUUUCAGAUACAAAGCAGAAUCAGAUAUGACACAUGUCGCGUUGGCUUUUGAAGUGCCAGGCGGCUGGCUUAAAGAGAGAGAGGCUACAAUUAUGACCGUCAUACAGACCUUAAUGGGUGGUGGCGGCUCAUUCUCCUCUGGUGGUCCUGGAAAAGGGAUGCAUUCACGGCUUUACCUGAGAGUUCUAACUAAAUAUCACGGCGUCCAAUCAUUUUCAGCAUUCAGUAAUGUAUAUGAUAACACUGGCCUGUUUGGCAUCUAUUUGACAACGCCACCAGAUUUUGUUUCAAAGGCUGUUGUUAUCGCGGUGCAGGAAUUGAUCGCUAUUGCAACGCCUGGACAAGUGACGGAGGUUGAGCUGACACGUGCGAAAAACUCGACGAUUUCAUCCGUGCUAAUGAAUCUUGAAUCGAGGGUAAUUGUUGCAGAAGAUAUAGGGAGGCAGCUUUUGACUUAUGGUAGCAGGAAACCCAUUGAUCAUUUUCUUCAGUGCAUGGAGGAACUGACCCUAGAUGACGUUACAGCGUUUGCUAAGAUGAUGUUAUCUUCCCAACCUACAAUGGCUAGCUAUGGAGAUGUCAAUAAAGUUCCGCCGUAUGAAUUUAUUAGCAUGCUGCUCCAACGGUUCCGAUAG